UACCUCUGUCCUUGGACUUUGGUGAUGUGGUUUGACCCCAGCCAGAGGUCAACAACAGCAAAAGGCAGGAAAAGACAGACUCAUGAGAGGAGACCCAGGAACAGGGGGUCACUGUGAAUGAGGAGGACGCGGGGGCCCAAGAGUGUGAGCAGAGGACGACAGGACUUGGGCGCUCAGUUGCCAGCUGUGAGGUCCGAGCUGUGUCCCCUCCUCUUAAGAGGUGAGCCCUGAGUCAUGGGAAGAUGGAAACCGGGGCUGAUGAGAGAGGAUGUUUUUAAGCACCGUGGUGUCUUGUUGACUCGCACAUGCGAGGGGUUCUUGGUAGCCACAGGGCUCAGGGUAUUUGCGAGAAUAGUUCAAGUGCUCAGUUGUCUUGGGGCUGUUGAUGGGGAAGUGGUUUCCACAGCGAGAGGAGGUGAGAUAUUGGUGUCACCCAGGACCACUUAGCUAGUUCCUCCUCACUAAAGCUCUGUAGUCAUAGUUUCCCCUGGCAGAGCAGAAACUUCUAUGUUAUUCCACAACUGUUCUAACGGUGCAGACUUGACUUAUGCAGUGAUGCCAGGAGUCCUGAGCAGCAGAGCCCAACUUAAACCACACGCAGAUGGACAGAGCUGUGUUAGCGAAGCCUGAGCUACUGAGCAAUGAGAGUAUAGCCAGGCUUUCAGACAUCUGUUCAUUCCAGAGAGAUACGCACUAAGCAAAGGACCUAAAGAUAUGUUUAAUAUGGAUGCUAAUAUGCAUACGGAACCUUGAAAUAAGUGUUCUUAGCCUUUGGCCAAGAGGGUCCAUGUCUAGGAAUCUAUUCUCUAUAGAAAUAAAUUCAAAUAUGG